AAACAUUGUGGUUCACAUUGCCCGUAACAUAUACAUGGAGUUGGCUGAAAUAAUGGCAUUAGAKCUUUAAAUAGUGUUGAAGUAUUUGAUGUCAGUAUACAAAAAUGGCAAAUGGUAUCAAGUAUGUCAAUUUCAAAAAGAUUUUGGGUGUUGAUGUACUCAAUCAUCAGUCAUAUGCGAUUGGAUGUGCUAAUAAUAUAUAUAUAUAUAUAUAU